CCUACGGGGGACUGCAGUGGGGAAUAUUGGACAAUGGGGGCAACCCUGAUCCAGCCAUGCCGCGUGUGUGAAGAAGGCCCUCGGGUUGUAAAGCACUUUCAGUGAGGAAGAACGCCUGGUGGUUAAUACCCAUCAGGAAAGACAUCACUCACAGAAGAAGCACCGGCUAACUCCGUGCCAGCAGCCGCGGUAAUACGGAGGGUGCGAGCGUUAAUCGGAAUUACUGGGCGUAAAGCGCGCGUAGGUGGCUUGAUAAGCCGGUUGUGAAAGCCCCGGGCUCAACCUGGGAACGGCAUCCGGAACUGUCAAGCUAGAGUGCAGGAGAGGAAGGUAGAAUUCCCGGUGUAGCGGUGAAAUGCGUAGAGAUCGGGAGGAAUACCAGUGGCGAAGGCGGCCUUCUGGACUGACACUGACACUGAGGUGCGAAAGCGUGGGUAGCAAACAGGAUUAGAUACCCGAGUAGUC
rnacentral:rRNA from 1 species